rnacentral:rRNA from 1 species
UACAGGGGGGGGCAAGCGUUGUUCGGAAUUACUGGGCGUAAAGGGCGCGUAGGCGGCCUUCUAAGUCGGACGUGAAAUCCCUCGGCUUAACCGAGGAACUGCGUCCGAUACUGAAAGGCUUGAAUCCGGGAGAGGGAUGUGGAAUUCCAGGUGUAGCGGUGAAAUGCGUAGAUAUCUGGAGGAACACCGGUGGCGAAGGCGGCAUCCUGGACCGGCAUUGACGCUGAGGCGCGAAAGCUAGGGGAGCAAACGGG